GAUCAUCAACAACCAUAAGUCCAUACUCGCUUAUGCAAGGCUCCAUGUGCUUAUUCAGUAAGAUGUUAGAGGAUUUGAAGUUUCCAUGAGCAAUCCCAUCAGCAUGAAGCACCUGAUGCAUAAAGGCCAAUGCCUCGGCAAUGCUAGCUGCAACACUGAGUCUGCUCAUCCAGUCAAAUGCUCGUCUCGAUUGGGUUCCUGAAGUACACAAUGUAUAAUCUCAGAAACUCUUUACACAAGUUGUAAUUUGU
rnacentral:misc_RNA from 1 species